rnacentral:rRNA from 1 species
UACGGGGGGGGCAAGCGUUGUUCGGAAUUACUGGGCGUAAAGGGCUCGUAGGCGGCCAACUAAGUCAGACGUGAAAUCCCUCGGCUUGACCGGGGAACUGCGUCUGAUACUGGUUGGCUUGAGUUUGGGAGAGGGAUGCGGAAUUCCAGGUGUAGCGGUGAAAUGCGUAGAUAUCUGGAGGAACACCGGUGGCGAAGGCGGCAUCCUGGACCAACACUGACGCUGAGGAGCGAAAGCCAGGGGAGCAAACGGG